rnacentral:rRNA from 1 species
ACGGCUCAGUAACACGUAGUCAACAUGCCCAGGGGACGUGGAUAACCUCGGGAAACUGAGGAUAAACCGCGAUAGGCCAAGGUUUCUGGAAUGGACACUGGCUGAAACCUAUAUGGCCCCUGGAUUGGACUGCGGCCGAUCAGGCUGUUGGUGAGGUAAUGGCCCACCAAACCUGUAACCGGUACGGGCUUUGAGAGAAGGAGCCCGGAGAUGGGCACUGAGACAAGGGCCCAGGCCCUAUGGGGCGCAGCAGGCGCGAAAAUUCUGCAAUAGGCGAAAGCUUGACAGAGUUACUCUGAGUGAUGCCCGCUAAGGGCAUCUUUUGGCACCUCUAAAAAUGGUGCAGAAUAAGGGGUGGGCAAGUCUGGUGUCAGCCGCCGCGGUAAUACCAGCACCCCGAGUGGUCGGGACGAUUAUUGGGCCUAAAGCAUCCGUAGCUUGUUCUGCAAGUCUUCCGUUAAAUCCACCUGCUCAACAGAUGGGCUGCGGGAGAUACUACAGGGCUAGGAGGCGGGAGAGGCAAGCGGUACUCAGUGGGUAGGGGUAAAAUCCUCUGAUCCACUGAAGACCACCAGUGGCGAAGGCGGCUUGCCAGAACGCGCUCGACGGUGAGGGAUGAAAGCUGGGGGAGCAAACCGGAUUAGAUACCCGGGUAGUCCCAGCUGUAAACGAUGCAGACUCGGUGAUGG